GAUGAACGCUGGCGGCGUGCCUAAUACAUGCAAGUCGAGCGAACAGACGAGGAGCUUGCUCCUCUGACGUUAGCGGCGGACGGGUGAGUAACACGUGGAUAACCUACCUAUAAGACUGGGAUAACUUCGGGAAACCGGAGCUAAUACCGGAUAAUAUAUUGAACCGCAUGGUUCAAUAGUGAAAGACGGUUUUGCUGUCACUUAUAGAUGGAUCAGCGCCGCAUUAGCUAGUUGGUAAGGUAACGGCUUACCAAGGCAACGAUGCGUAGCCGACCUGAGAGGGUGAUCGGCCACACCGGAGCUGAGACACGGUCCAGACUCCUACGGGAGGCAGCAGUAGGGACUAUUCCGCGAUGGGCGAAAGCAUGACGGAGCAACGCCGCGUGAGUGAUGAAGGUCUUCGGAUCGUAAAACUCUGUUAUUAGGGAAGAACAAAUGUGUAAGUAACUAUGCACGUCUUGACGGUACCUAAUCAGAAAGCCACGGCUAACUACGUG
rnacentral:rRNA from 1 species